CACGUAGGGGGCAAGCGUUGUCCGGAUUUAUUGGGCGUAAAGAGCUCGUAGGUGGCUGAGUAAGUCGGAUGUUAAAUCCCCAGGCUCAACCUGGGACACCACCCGAUACUGCUCUAGCUAGAGUCCGGUAGGGGAGCAUGGAAUUCCUGGUGUAGCGGUGAAAUGCGCAGAUAUCAGGAGGAACACCAGCGGCGAAGGCGGUGCUCUGGGCCGGAACUGACACUGAGGAGCGAAAGCGUGGGUAGCAAACAGG
rnacentral:rRNA from 2 species